GACGUAGGGCGCGAGCGUUGUCCGGAUUUAUUUGGCGUAAAGAGCGUGUAGGCGGCCAGACAGGUCCGUUGUGAAAACUCGAGGCUCAACCUCGAGACGUCGAUGGAAACCGUCUGGCUAGAGUCCGGAAGAGGAGUGUGGAAUUCCUGGUGUAGCGGUGAAAUGCGCAGAUAUCAGGAAGAACACCUAUGGCGAAGGCAGCACUCUGGGACGGUACUGACGCUGAGACGCGAAAGCGUGGGGAGCGAACAGG
rnacentral:rRNA from 1 species